CGAGAAUUUUUCACAAUGGGGGAAACCCUGAUGGAGCGACGCCGCGUGGGGGAUGAAUGGCUUCGGCCCGUAAACCCCUGUCAUUUGCGAGCAAAGCGCAUUAUUUAAAAGAUGAUGUGUUGAUAGUAGCGGAAGAGGAAGGGACGGCUAACUCUGUGCCAGCAGCCGCGGUAAUACAGAGGUCCCGAGCGUUGUUCGGAUUCACUGGGCGUAAAGGGUGCGUAGGUGGUGAGGUGUGUCGGAUGUGAAAUCUCGGAGCUCAACUCCGAAACUGCAUUGGAAACUACCUUGCUGGAGGGUUGGAGGGGGGACUGGAAUACUUGGUGUAGCAGUGAAAUGCGUAGAUAUCAAGUGGAACACCAGUGGCGAAGGCGAGUCCCUGGACAACUCCUGACACUGAGGCACGAAAGCUAGGGGAGCAAACA
rnacentral:rRNA from 1 species